rnacentral:tRNA from 1 species
GCGCACUUAGCUCAGUGUUAGAGCAUCACUUUUGAAUGUUGAGGUCACAGGUUCAAUCCCUGCAGUGCACA